GCAGCGUCCGUCUCUGCUCCACUCGGCUCUUUAGCAAUUUGUGCUGUCUUAAGGGGAAAAGGGAGGCAGUUUCCUGGCUCGUCAUGGAAGGAGUCUCCAGUGUUAGUGCUUCACAAAUCUUUUGUGAUUUCUCCACAACAGAUCUGCCUGCUUCGUCCUGGCCUGCUUCUGAAUGAGGUUCUCUUCGAAUGGAGGCCACUUUGUGUAGCUGGGGAUGGUUUCACAUCAAUGGCCAGGGGAUCCAUGAAAUUACGGAGCAACACGGGAACUUUUGAGGAGGGAUUUCGGCUACACUUAAUGUCAAAAUCUGCUACACUGACUCAGGACUACAGGUUGCAUUUGAUCAGUAUCACUGCACACCUUAACAAAGUUUAGCUGUAAUAAAUGAACAUUCUGUGCCACCCAGAUGAUGAUGGGUUCCCUCUUAAGUCUGGUUCCUCUCAAUGCCAUCUCAGACUCCACUGGCUUGUAUAUCAAUGUCCAUUGUUAAAAGUAUACACUAUACAAUAAAAAAAUUAAUUGAAAUUUAAUAAUUAAAGGUUCUUUGCUCUCUAGGAGAGUUCUCCUUAGACCCUUA